rfam:Schistosoma curassoni strain Dakar, Senegal genome assembly, scaffold: SCTD_scaffold0003528
ACCAGCCGACGAGUUCCAAAUAGGAUGACACGCGCGUCCUAGAU